GGGCUACCCAAAGCCCGAGGCAACACAGGCUGGCCUUGCUCUCACACAGGAACCCUGCAAAGGCCACCAAACCUCGCCAAGGCACAAGGCCCCACCCAGGGCCAGGAUGCUGGAGAGGAAGGGCACAGACUCUGAUGAAUGGGACUCGGGACUCGGAGACCCCGUUUCUUUCUCUGCCUAAACAAGGGAGGCCCCAAGUUUACACUGUAGCCCGGCGGACCUGCUGACAGACACCAGCUCAGGAGACACAGAAUGGCUCCCUGUCCCUUGCGCAGAGCCCUCCCGGGAACGCCAAAAGGAAGCAGGGCACGCCUGCAGGAAGCUCCUACUGGCUCAAGUCUGGACUUUAAGUGCUUCCAUAAGGAUAACAACUGCCAGGAAUGGAACUUCAAGAGAUUAUUUUGGCAAGUCUUGAGUUCCCGAUGCUCUUUCAUUGCAAAGUAACUCCUGGAUCACGGCUGGUUUUGUUUGUGGUCGGUUUCCUGGUGGUUUUGGAGGCUGAGGAUGAUCUCCACCCCUGGGGAAUUCAGGGGAAGCGUGGACCCUGAACCUCGGUACUCUGUCCUGCUACCCUUGGACGUGCCCCUUCACCAAAGGGCAGCCAUGGCACGAGGACCCUUAGGACACCAGGGACACAGCUAAGAACUGGAAGCGAAAGGAAACGAGGGAAGCAGUAUGUCCUCACCUCCACCACCACUGCCAAGGCACUGCCAAAGCUGUCCUGGACCUAGGGCACGGAGGGGUGCUUCGCUGGGACUUGGCGGCCUUCCAGGACUGACCAGGAGACACAAGGUGCCUAGAGACCAGGGGACACACCAGCAGGCAGAUCCCUGCCACGAGGGUCCCUCCUGAGUGCCACCAAGGGCUCUGACCCAAGAGUAGACCUGCCUGGGGUGGGGG
rnacentral:lncRNA from 1 species